rnacentral:rRNA from 1 species
AGCGAACGCUGGCGGCAGGCCUAACACAUGCAAGUCGAACGAAGUCUUCGGACUUAGUGGCGGACGGGUGAGUAACACGUGGGAACGUGCCUUUAGGUUCGGAAUAACUCAGGGAAACUUGUGCUAAUACCGAAUGUGCCCUUCGGGGGAAAGAUUUAUCGCCUUUAGAGCGGCCCGCGUCUGAUUAGCUAGUUGGUGAGGUAAAGGCUCACCAAGGCUACGAUCAGUAGCUGGUCUGAGAGGAUGACCAGCCACAUUGGGACUGAGACACGGCCCAAACUCCUACGGGAGGCAGCAGUGGGGAAUCUUGCGCAAUGGGCGAAAGCCUGACGCGGCCAUGCCGCGUGAAUGAUGAAGGUCUUAGGAUUGUAAAAUUCUUUCACCGGGGAAGAUAAUGACGGUACCCGGAGAAGAAGCCCCGGCUAACUUCGUGCCAGCCGCCGCUGUAACAC